AACAACAGAAUCUGGGUACGUCUGUGUGAAGAGGUGUGGCUUUAGUGUGGAUUUGAAUAGUACACAAGUAGGCCUACGCUAUUUUUGCACUGUAAAACUUUUUUUUAAGUGUUAUGUUUUCCCAGAUUCAUAGUGUUAUGCAGCCCAGGCCUAUCUAGGAAGGCUGGGCAUAAAUUGUUUGCUCACAGCAUCACAUGAUGACGUGGGCAACAUAAACACUUAAACUCUGUAGAUUAACGUUAAUAGUAAUUAAAACUAAUUUCACCACGAAAGGAAGUGCAAUCGAAAUGAAUGAAGAAGACAAGGUAAUUCUAGUGAGUUAAUAAAAUGACAAGGUGUUGCCUGUGAGCGUUGUAGACUACUGCCUCACAAGCCCGGGCUUUAGUGGCACUGGCAUACGCGCUUGCCUCUGCACUGAAGGAGCCACCGAACGCGUCCGCGUUGCAGAUCUCACUUUCUCCCGCUACAGUAUGUCCUACAAUUACAUAUUUGGUGGGGAUUGGCAGCCAACUAUAGGAUUGGAUUGGGACUAAAUCAAAGAAUAAAACGAUAUUAAAAUGAAUAGUAUUAACAAAUAUUUCCCAGAAGAUUUUGGGUUCAACCUAAGGCUGACUAAGACAGAUCAAUCAACUUGAUCCGACACAGUAAGCCUACAUGUCAUACGUAAGUAAAUCCACAAGAGAGACAAUAUUGCAAAGGCAGGACCAUGUUCGAUGGAAGGCGUAGGGGUAGGCAAUCGAAAACGUUUGACGGGGAAAUUUCUGUCAAUAUUAGCUAGUCCUACUGAGUGGGCAAGUAACCUUUCCCGCGCUCUUCCUAAAAAAUACUAUUUGUGAUGUCAUAAAGGUCUAACGUUCCAUGACGUAGCAUGUAGCCCUAAAUUACAGUCCCUGCUUGCAAUAUUGUCCUCACUCUCGACCUGAACUCAACUUGAAUGUAACCAACACAGACAAGGACAUGCUUUUUGAGAUAUAAAAUAGCUUGAAUGGAUGAAGAAAAGGUAAGCUAAAUUACUUCAUACAAUAUUGGGGGAAAUUUACCAUUCUUUAUAAAGUCACCAGCUUAGCUCUGAUAUGGCUGUAGCUCUAUUUAUGAUGUCCUCUGCACAGAUCUACUCUGACAUUGACAUAUUAUUACUUAUUGGAAUGUCUGUCCUUCAGGUAGCACAGAGGGAGGAUGGUGAUCCUCAGAGGGAAGGAAAGGAAGUUGUUGAGGAAGAACCGGUGGCCACGCCCAAAGAGGAGGCCAAGAAGGGAAGGAAGGCAAAAAGUAAGAGGAGUGGCAAGAAGUCAAGGAAGCUGGGCACUGACAACGAUGCAGUCUCCAGGAAUAAACACCUGG